rnacentral:rRNA from 1 species
UACGUAGGGUGCAAGCGUUAAUCGGAAUUACUGGGCGUAAAGCGUGCGCAGGCGGUUUUGUAAGACAGUCGUGAAAUCCCCGGGCUCAACCUGGGAAUUGCGAUUGUGACUGCAAAGCUGGAGUGCGGCANAGGGGGGAUGGAAUUCUGCGUGUAGCAGUGAAAUGCGUAGAUAUGCGGAGGAACACCGAUGGCGAAGGCAACUCCCCGUGGGCCUGCACUGACGCUCAUGCACG